CUCCCACAGAUGCCGGUCCAGGUCUUCCUCCCCCAGGCGCCCGUCCAGGUCUCCCUCUCCCAGGCGCCCGUCCAAGUCUGGCUACGCCAGAUAUGAUGUUAAAACCUGGACGUUCCCCUUGCCUCAGGAGGUAUUUCAGAAAAAGGUUUUAACACUGCUCCUUGAGAUUCGGGACAAGGCUUCUCCACAAGCGUCACACGUCGGUCACAUCGUCAGGAUGGAGACCAUGGAGCA